GCGAACCGAGNAUNAUAUAAUAUCGUAUUNUGAUAGUACCUUACUACAGAUAACCGNGGUAAUUCUAGAGCUAAUACANGCUGAAAAUCCCGACUUCGGAAGNGANGUAUUUAUUAGAUUCAAAACCAAUGCCCUUCGGGGCUCCGGGUGAUUCAUGAUAACUUCUCAAAUCCCAGGGCCCCGCCCCGGCAAGGGUUCAUUCAAAUUUCUUCCCUAUCAACUUUCAAUGCUACGGUANUGUCCUANCAGGGUUGCAAGNAANGGGGGAAUAAAAAUUNGGAAACUGGNANAUCACGNGUANCCGGAUNUAUUAAUAUGUGUUACUCCAACUAGCAUUCCNACGCACAACACUGNUGCGAAGGAGUUUUCCAGAGGCACCCCCAACCCCCA
rnacentral:rRNA from 1 species